GAGGAUGUUUCUGGCGCGGUGCCUUCCGAGUUCCCUGGAACGGGACGCCAUAGAGGGUGAGAGCCCCGUAUGGUUGGAUACCAAGCCUGUGUGAAACUCCUUCGACGAGUCGAGUAGUUUGGGAAUGCUGCUCAAAAUGGGAGGUAAAUCUCUUCUAAAGCUAAAUAUUGGCCAGAGACCGAUAGCGCACAAGUAGAGUGAUCGAAAGAUGAAAAGCACCUUGAAAAGGGGGUUAAACAGUACGUGAAAUUGUUGAAAGGGAAGCGCUCAUGACCAGACUUGUGCUGGGCAGCUCAUCCGGGGUUCUCCCCGGUGCAUUCUGCCCAGUUCAGGCCAGCAUCGAUUUUUGCUGGGGGAUAAGAACGGUAGGAACGUGGCCCUCCUUCGGGAGGGUGUUAUAGCCUACCGUACGAUACCCUAGCGGAGAUCGAGGUUCGCGCAUCUGCAAGGAUGCUGGCGUAAUGGUCAUCAGCGACCCGUCUUGAAACACGGACCAAGGAGUCGUCCAUUAGAGCGAGCGUUUGGGUGUAAAACCCGCACGCGUAAUGAAAGUGAAAUUAGGUGAGAGCUUCGGCGCAUCAUCGACCGAUCCUGAUGUUCUCGGAUGGAUUUGAGUAAGAGUUUUAACGGACGGACCCGAAAGACAGUGAACUAUGCUUGUAUAGGGUGAAGCCAGAGGAAACUCUGGUGGAGGCUCGCAGCGGUUCUGACGUGCAAAUCGAUCGUCAAAUAUGAGCAUGGGGGCGAAAGACUAAUCGAACUGUCUAGUAGCUGGUUACCGCCGAAGUUUCCCUCAGGAUAGCAGUGUUGACCUUCAGUUUUAUGAGGUAAAGCGAAUGAUUAGGGACUCGGGGGCGCUUUUUAGCCUUCAUCCAUUCUCAAACUUUAAAUAUGUAAGAAGCCCUUGUUACUUAGUUGAACGUGGGCAUUCGAAUGUAUCAACACUAGUGGGGCCAUUUUUGGUAAGCAGAACUGGCGAUGCGGGAUGAACCGAACGCGGGGUUAAG
rnacentral:rRNA from 1 species